rnacentral:rRNA from 1 species
AGGUGCGAAAGCGUGGGUAGCAAACAGGAAAGAACCCUGGUAGUCCACGCCGUAAACGAUGUCAACUAAAGUUGGGUCCCUUGAGGACUUAGUGGCGCAGCUAACGCAAUAAGUUGACCGCCUGGGGAGUACGGCCGCAAGGUUAAAACUCAAAUGAAUUGACGGGGGCCCGCACAAGCGGUGGAGCAUGUGGUUUAAUUCGAUGCAACGCGAAGAACCUUACCUACCCUUGACAUCCAGAGGACUUUCCAGAGAUGGAUUGGUGCCUUCGGGAACUCUGAGACAGGUGCUGCAUGGCUGUCGUCAGCUCGUGUUGUGAAAUGUUGGGUUAAGUCCCGUAACGAGCGCAACCCCUAUCCUUAUUUGCCAGCGGGUAAUGUCGGGAACUCUAAGGAGACUGCCGGUGACAAACCGGAGGAAGGUGGGGACGACGUCAAGUCAUCAUGGCCCUUACGGGUAGGGCUACACACGUGCUACAAUGGCAAGUACAAAGGGUUGCAAUACUGCGAAGUGGAGCCAAUCCCAUAAAGCUUGCCUCAGUCCGGAUUGGAGUCUGCAACUCGACUCCAUGAAGUCGGAAUCGCUAGUAAUCGUGGAUCAGAAUGCCACGGUGAAUACGUUCCCGGGCCUUGUACACACCGCCCGUCACACCAUGGGGAGUGGACUGCACCAGAAGUGGUUAGCCUAACCUUCGGGAGGGCGAUCACCACGGGUGUG